rnacentral:rRNA from 1 species
UUGACCCCGUAACUUAGGGAGAAGGGGUGCCUACGAGAGUAGGCCGCAGUGAAUAGGCUCAAGCAACUGUUUAUCAAAAACACAGGUCUCUGCUAAAGCGUAAGCUGAUGUAUAGGGGCUGACGCCUGCCCGGUGCUGGAAGGUUAAGGGGAAUAGUUAGCGCAAGCAGCUAUGAACUUAAGCCCCAGUAAACGGCGGCCGUAACUAUAACGGUCCUAAGGUAGCGAAAUUCCUUGUCGGGUAAGUUCCGACCCGCACGAAUGGCGUAAUGAUUUGAGCACUGUCUCGGCAAUAAAUCCGGUGAAAUUGUAGUGCAAGUGAAGAUGCUUGCUACCCGCGGUUGGACGGAAAGACCCCGUAGAGCUUUACUGUAGCUUAGCAUUGAAUUUCGGUAUUGUCUGUACAGGAUAGGUGGGAGACUUAGAAGCGAGGGCGUCAGCUUUCGUGGAGUCGUCCUUGGGAUACCACCCUGACAGUACUGGAAUUCUAACU